UACGAAGGGGGCUAGCGUUGCUCGGAAUCACUGGGCGUAAAGGGUGCGUAGGCGGGUCUUUAAGUCAGGGGGGAAAUCCUGGAGCUCAACUCCAGAACUGCCUUUGAUACUGAGGAUCUUGAGUUCGGGAGAGGUGAGUGGAACUGCGAGUGUAGAGGUGAAAUUCGUAGAUAAUCGCAAGAACACCAGUGGCGAAGGCGGCUCACUGGCCCGAUACUGACGCUGAGGCACGAAAGCGUGGGUAGCAAACAGG
rnacentral:rRNA from 1 species